GCUGGAAGACAAACAGCUGCGAAAGCGUCUGCCAAGGACGUUUUCAUUGAUCAAGAACGAAAGUAAGGGGAUCGAAGACGAUCAGAUACCGUCGUAGUCUUUACUAUAAACUAUGAGGACCGGGGAUCGGACGUGGCAUUUUGGUACGUUCGGCACCCUCCGGGAAACCAAAGUAUUUGCUUUCUGGGGGGAGUAUGGUCGCAAGGCUGAAACUUAAAGGAAUUGACGGAAGGGCAUCACCGGGUGUGGAGCCUGCGGCUUAAUUUGACUCAACACGGGAAAACUUACCAGGUCCGGACAUUGUGAGGAUUGACAGAUUGAGAGCUCUUUCUUGAUUCAAUGGUUGGUGGUGCAUGGCCGUUCUUAGUUGGUGGAGUGAUCUGUCUGGUUAAUUCCGUUAACGAGCGAGACCUGGGCGUGCUAGCUAGGCGCUAUUACCUUUUUUGGUAGUAAGGCAGCCUACCUAGACGGACUGCAGGCUUCUAGUCUGCGGAAGCUCCAGGCAAUAACAGGUCUGAGAUGCCCUUAGAUGUUCUGGGCCGCACGCGUGCUACACUGAGCGGGUCAACGGGUUAGGUAGUGCGAAAGCAUGACCAAAUCUCUAAAUCCGCUCGUGCUGGGGAUAGACGGUUGCAAUUUUCCGUCUUGAACGAGGAAUACCUUGUAAGCGUGGGUCAUCAUCCCGCGCUGAAUACGUCCCUGCCCUUUGUACACACCGCCCGUCGCUCCUACCGAUUGAGUGGUCCGGUGAGGCCUUGGGAGGGCUAGAAGAAUUGUGUUUCACAGUUUAUUUGGCUCAAACUUGGUCAAACCUUAUCACUUAGA
rnacentral:rRNA from 1 species